rnacentral:rRNA from 1 species
GCUGGCGGCAGGCCUAACACAUGCAAGUCGAGCGGUAGCACAGGGAGCUUGCUCCUGGGUGACGAGCGGCGGACGGGUGAGUAAUGUCUGGGAAACUGCCUGAUGGAGGGGGAUAACUACUGGAAACGGUAGCUAAUACCGCAUAACGUCUUCGGACCAAAGAGGGGGACCUUCGGGCCUCUUGCCAUCAGAUGUGCCCAGAUGGGAUUAGCUAGUAGGUGAGGUAAUGGCUCACCUAGGCGACGAUCCCUAGCUGGUCUGAGAGGAUGACCAGCCACACUGGAACUGAGACACGGUCCAGACUCCUACGGGAGGCAGCAGUGGGGAAUAUUGCACAAUGGGCGCAAGCCUGAUGCAGCCAUGCCGCGUGUAUGAAGAAGGCCUUCGGGUUGUAAAGUACUUUCAGCGAGGAGGAAGGCAUUGUGGUUAAUAACCGCAGUGAUUGACGUUACUCGCAGAAGAAGCACCGGCUAACUCCGUGCCAGCAGCCGCGGUAAUACGGAGGGUGCAAGCGUUAAUCGGAAUUACUGGGCGUAAAGCGCACGCAGGCGGUCUGUCAAGUCGGAUGUGAAAUCCCCGGGCUCAACCUGGGAACUGCAUUCGAAACUGGCAGGCUAGAGUCUUGUAGAGGGGGGUAGAAUUCCAGGUGUAGCGGUGAAAUGCGUAGAGAUCUGGAGGAAUACCGGUGGCGAAGGCGGCCCCC